rnacentral:rRNA from 1 species
UACGUAGGGUGCGAGCGUUAAUCGGAAUUACUGGGCGUAAAGCGUGCGCAGGCGGUUCGUUGUGUCGGCGGUGAAAGCCCCGGGCUCAACCUGGGAAUGGCCGUUGAAACUGGCGAACUGGAGUGUGGCAGAGGGGGGUGGAAUUCCGCGUGUAGCAGUGAAAUGCGUAGAGAUGCGGAGGAACACCGAUGGCGAAGGCAGCCCCCUGGGCUGACACUGACGCUCAGGAACGAAAGCGUGGGGAGCAAACAGG